AAAUCUGGGUUAAUGUUUGCUGACAAGGGGUACAAUCCCCACCCCAGGAAAUGACAUCAAUACUUUAAAAAAAGGAAAGACUCAUAUGCUAAGAUAGCAUUAAUGCAAUAACAGGUGCAAUAAAGAGUGCUGGACUGAGAAAAAACUUUAUUUCACUUAAUAUGUUUAUAACAAUAUAUGCUGUUCUCUUCUCUCUGGCUAUGGAAUCAGUUCUGGGACAGACACUGAAGCAAAAAGAUUUCUCCAUGACCAAAGACGAGGACAAAAGUGUGUAUAUCAGCUGCGAGGUGACCGGAUUGUCUUCUAGCAAUUAUGUCCACUGGUACCAAAAGAAAGAAGGAGAAGCUCUCGCAAGGAUCCUGUAUGUCAAAAGUGGAAGCCUGGAACCUGUUCAUGAUGCUAACUUUCAUGAAGCACAGGAAUUUGGUGUGAGGACACAGUCUAAUAAUUAUGACCUGAAAAUAGCAAACCUGAAGAAAAAGCACUCUGCAGUUUAUUACUGUGCCAGCUGGGGAGGCUCCCACAAUGAUAGCAAAUAUUCACAGUGUGUGCAAAAACCCCAAUUGUCCACCACUUAUGUCCAUUGGUACCAAAGGAAAGAUGGUAAAAGUCUUAAAAGGAUCCUAUAUGUGUCACACGCCAGCCAGACCAAACCAGCACCUCCAGACCCUAAACUGCGGGUUUCCGGGUUUGUGAAGAUUCCCUUGCGUCACAGCCCCGCCUCCUUGAUGGGACGCUCCGCCUCCUCGAUGGGAGCUCCGCCUCCUCGAUGGGACGCUCCUCCCCCCAAUUACCUGGAGAACCGCUCAAGUCACCCUAAGGACAUCUGA